rnacentral:misc_RNA from 1 species
GAUGAAGAACGUAGCGAAAUGCGAUAAGUAGUGUGAAUUGCAGAAUUCAGUGAAUCAUCGAAUCUUUGAACGCACAUUGCGCCCCUUGGUAUUCCAUGGGGCAUGCCUGUUCGAGCGUCAUUAUAACCCUCAAGCUCAGCUUGGUGUUGGGGCCUGCUGCACUGGCAGCCCUUAAAAUCAGUGGCGGCGCCAUCUGGCUCUAAGCGUAGUAAUUCUUCUCGCUAUGGAGUCCUGGUGGAUGCUUGCCAUCAACCCCCAAUUUUUCUAUGGUUGACCUCGGAUCAGGUAGGGAUACCCGCUGAACUUAAGCAUAUCAAUAAGCGGAGGA